ACCUGGUACAGUGGUGCAUGCCUGCAGUGCAAGCUACUCAGAAGGCAAACUGGGGAGGACUGCUUGAGGCCAGAAAUUCUGGGCUGUGGUGUGCUAUACUGAUCAGGUGUCUGCACUUAGUUCAGCAUCAAUAUGGUGACCUUCUGGGAGUGGACCAGGGGUGAACUGGCCCAGGCCAAAAAUGAAGCAGGUAAAAACUCCUGUGCUAGGCUGGGCGCAGUGGCUCACACCUGUAAUCCUAGCAGUUUGAGAGGCCGAGGCGCAGAUCACUUGAGGCCAGGAGUUCGAGACCAGCCUGGCCAACAUGGUAAAACCCAUCUCU
ensembl:misc_RNA Metazoa_SRP Metazoan signal recognition particle RNA